GGGACUGUGGUGUAGGGAUAAGCGUUGUUGCCUCUCACCCAGUCGGCUUGGGUUCGAUCCCAGACAGUUCCG
rnacentral:tRNA from 1 species